UAGGGAAUCUUCGGCAAUGGACGAAAGUCUGACCGAGCAACGCCGCGUGAGUGAAGAAGGUUUUCGGAUCGUAAAACUCUGUUGUUAGAGAAGAACAAGGACGUUAGUAACUGAACGUCCCCUGACGGUAUCUAACCAGAAAGCCACGGCUAACUACGUGCCAGCAGCCGCGGUAAUACGGAGGGUGCAAGCGUUAAUCGGAAUUACUGGGCGUAAAGCGCACGCAGGCGGUUGAUUGAGUCAGAUGUGAAAUCCCCGGGCUUAACCCGGGAAUUGCAUCUGAUACUGGUCAGCUAGAGUCUUGUAGAGGGGGGUAGAAUUCCAUGUGUAGCGGUGAAAUGCGUAGAGAUGUGGAGGAAUACCGGUGGCGAAGGCGGCCCCCUGGACAAAGACUGACGCUCAGGUGCGAAAGCGUGGGAGCAAACAGG
rnacentral:rRNA from 1 species